rnacentral:rRNA from 1 species
AGCGAACGCUGGCGGCAGGCUUAACACAUGCAAGUCGAGCGGGCCCUUCGGGGUCAGCGGCAGACGGGUGAGUAACACGUGGGAACGUACCCUUUGGUUCGGAAUAACGCUGGGAAACUAGCGCUAAUACCGGAUACGCCCUUUUGGGGAAAGGCUUGCUGCCGAAGGAUCGGCCCGCGUCUGAUUAGCUUGUUGGUUGGGUAAUGGCCUACCAAGGCGACGAUCAGUAGCUGGUCUGAGAGGAUGAUCAGCCACACUGGGACUGAGACACGGCACAGACUCCUACGGGAAGCAGCAGUGGGGAAUAUUGGACAAUGGGCGCAAGCCUGAUCCAGCCAUGCCGCGUGAGUGAUGAAGGCAUUAGGGUAGUAAAGCUCUUUUGUCCGGGACGAUAAUGACGGUACCGGAAGAAUAAGCCCCGGCUAACUUCGUG